CGGGCUUGAAUUGCAGGAGAACGAAACAGAGAUGUUGAGGUCCUUCGGGACUCCUGCGAAGGUGCUGCAUGGUUGUCGUCAGCUCGUGCCGUGAGGUGUCGGCUUAAGUGCCAUAACGAGCGCAACCCCUCUCCCCAGUUGCCAUCGGGUGAUGCCGGGCACUCUGGGGACACUGCCGCCGCAAGGUGCGAGGAAGGCGGGGAUGACGUCAAAUCAGCACGGCCCUUACGUCCGGGGCUACACACGUGUUACAAUGGCCGGCACAGAGCGCCGGUGCGGCGCGAGCCGCAUCCAAUCUUGAAAACCGGUCUCAGUUCGGACUGGGGUCUGCAACCCGACCCCACGAAGCUGGAUUCGCUAGUAAUCGCGCAUCAGCCACGGCGCGGUGAAUACGUUCCCGGGCC
rnacentral:rRNA from 1 species